rnacentral:rRNA from 1 species
AUUGAACGCUGGCGGCAGGCCUAACACAUGCAAGUCGAGCGGAUGACGGGAGCUUGCUCCUUGAUUCAGCGGCGGACGGGUGAGUAAUGCCUAGGAAUCUGCCUGGUAGUGGGGGACAACGUUUCGAAAGGAACGCUAAUACCGCAUACGUCCUACGGGAGAAAGCAGGGGACCUUCGGGCCUUGCGCUAUCAGAUGAGCCUAGGUCGGAUUAGCUAGUUGGUGGGGUAAUGGCUCACCAAGGCGACGAUCCGUAACUGGUCUGAGAGGAUGAUCAGUCACACUGGAACUGAGACACGGUCCAGACUCAUACGGGAGGCAGCAGUGGGGAAUAUUGGACAAUGGGCGAAAGCCUGAUCCAGCCAUGCCGCGUGUGUGAAGAAGGUCUUCGGAUUGUAAAGCACUUUAAGUUGGGAGGAAGGGCAGUAAGUUAAUACCUCGCUGUUUUGACGUUACCGACAGAAUAAGCACCGGCUAACUCUGUGCCAGCAGCCGCAGUAAUAC